rnacentral:tRNA from 1 species
GAACGGGUCGUCUAACGGAAGGACGUCGGAGCUUGCUCCGGAGAUGAGGGUUCGAUCCCCUUUCCGCUCA